rnacentral:rRNA from 1 species
UACGAAGGGGGGCUAGCGUUGUUCGGAUUUACUGGGCGUAAAGCGCACGUAGGCGGUUUGUUAAGUCAGAGGUGAAAUCCCGGAGCUCAACUCCGGAACUGCCUUUGAUACUGGCAAGCUAGAGUCCGGAAGAGGUAAGUGGAACUCCUAGUGUAGAGGUGGAAUUCGUAGAUAUUAGGAAGAACACCAGUGGCGAAGGCGGCUUACUGGUCCGGAACUGACGCUGAGGUGCGAAAGCGUGGGGAGCAAACAGG